rnacentral:rRNA from 1 species
UACGGAGGGGGCUAGCGUUGUUCGGAAUUACUGGGCGUAAAGCGCACGUAGGCGGCUUUGCAAGUUAGAGGUGAAAGCCCGGGGCUCAACUCCGGAAUUGCCUUUAAAACUGCAUCGCUAGAAUUGUGGAGAGGUAAGUGGAAUUCCGAGUGUAGAGGUGAAAUUCGUAGAGAUCCGGAGGAACACCGACGGCGAAGGCAGCGCCCUGGCCGCCAUCUGACGCUCAGGCACGAAAGCUGGGGGAGCGAACAGG